rnacentral:antisense_RNA from 1 species
GGCUUUGGGGAGGGGGUGGGAGAGACGACAGGUCUGGGAUCAGGGAGUCUUCAAGGCCCCCGCUGAGGGGACAGCGAAUCUACCAUUGAACCGUGCACGGGGGACAUGGACGAAAUGAGACGCGACAGGGACAAGAGCAUUUUGCUCUGCUUCCAGGAAACAUCAAGUUGCUUGUCUGGAGACAGAGCCACUACGGGCAGGGCCUGGGCGCCUGGAGUCGGGCAUGAAAGGAAAUAGCGCCUCAUCGCUCUUAUCUAAGCCCAGAGGUCUACUUCGCUUGAAAAGAUCGAGAAUGGGGGAGGGGAUCGUCACUCACUUGCAGACAUCAACAGUUUCCAGAAAACUCGGUUCAAUUCCUUCACCACGGACCCACCAACCAAGGAGCUGGCAAGACCCACCAGCCAACCAGGAGAACACAGACCCGGUUUGUCUUUUGACAACCGAGUGGAACUGACGGGGCCGGCGCCUGCCCUGCGGGUCCCCUCCCUUGGCUGAGAAGAAAACCAAAUAAACCUUGAACAGCC